rnacentral:lncRNA from 1 species
UCCCUAGGUCAUAUUGUGAUCAACGGAAUACGAUAUGAACAUGCGUGGUCCUACUUCUGCCUCAACACCAUACUCACCGUUGACAUUUAUUGCAUUUUUCUGGACUGACUUCAUAGUUUUAAACGUCAAGAGAAGGCCGGGCGCAGUGGCUCAAACUCUGAAAUGAACUCAUGAUCGUAGAAUACCAGAUCCUUAUACUCAACAGUUUCAGUCUUCUAGCAAGCUUUUUUGCAGACACUGUAGCUGUCUUUGGUUUGUGUGUGUGU